AGAACGAACGCUGGCGGCAUGCCUAAUACAUGCAAGUUGAACGAACUCUUCGGAGUUAGUGGCGCACGGGUGCGUAACGCGUGGGAAUCUGCCCUUGGGUUCGGAAUAACAGUUGGAAACGACUGCUAAUACCGGAUGAUGACGAAAGUCCAAAGAUUUAUCGCCCAGGGAUGAGCCCGCGUAGGAUUAGCUAGUUGGUGAGGUAAAGGCUCACCGAAGGCGACGAUCCUUAGCUGGUCUGAGAGGAUGAUCAGCCACACUGGGACUGAGAC
rnacentral:rRNA from 1 species